GUCAGGGGAAGGUGUGUUUUAAAGGACGAUCCGCCUAUUAAUUUACCCCAACUAUGUUGGUGUAUAUCUGGUUGAAUAUUAUUGCUUAGUUGCUUGAAUUUGUGUAUUAAUAUUUAAGCUAAGUCUAUGUGCUGCAUGUUGGGGUUUUCAUGCGUUACAUUUAUAAACUUUAAUACCUGUAAUGGUUUAUGUUUUAGGACUUGAUAGUAAUACUAAAUGAGUUUGUUGGUGUGAAGGUGGUUUAGCUCAGGUACACACCGCCCGUCACCCUCGAUAUUUUU
rnacentral:rRNA from 1 species